rnacentral:rRNA from 1 species
AUUGAACGCUGGCGGCAUGCUUUACACAUGCAAGUCGAACGCGAAAGCGGGGGCAACCCUGCCGGUAGAGUGGCGAACGGGUGAGUAAUACAUCGGAACGUAUCCUCGCGUGGGGGACAACCAGUCGAAAGACGGGCUAAUACCGCAUACGCUGGAGACAGGAAAGCAGGGGACCCGCAAGGGCCUUGUGCGCAUGGAGCGGCCGAUGUCUGAUUAGCUAGUUGGUGGGGAAAGGCUCACCAAGGCGACGAUCAGUAGCUGGUCUGAGAGGAUGAUCAGCCACACUGGGACUGAGACACGGCCCAGACUCCUACGGGAGGCAGCAGUGGGAAUUUUGGACAAUGGGGCAACCCUGAUCCAGCCAUGCCGCGUGA